GGUCGUUGUGCUGGCCACAUGACACUCUCGUUAGCCGUAGGCAACAGAAACAGAUAACCUUUACUUCAUCUGCUCUACAAAUCACAAUGUCUGAAAGGGGAGGCUACUUAUCGAUAUCUACCUGUGGGAAAGAGAAUAUCUUGAUAUUUAUACAGAGAGAUAAUGUGAAAUUUGAGACGUUUAAUAAUUCCGUGCCUUUUUUUUUUAAUCAUGUGGAAAAAAAAUCACAAAUCCAUAUCUUUUUACGAUUAAUAAACCACAUUAGGGGCGACGACUCUAACGGACGCAAGGAAAUGCAAAUUAAGAACGACUGUUCACAAGUGUGCGUAAAAAAAUGAUCAUCGACUAGAGUUUUUGCAGGGGGACAUUUGCUUUUAAUAAUUGCGUCAUUGUUGUUGACAGGCAGAUGAGAUUUUUGGCUCUGAAUCUGAAUAGCCAACGAGCAUGGACAUAUAGCAAAUGGGAUUACUGUAGAGCAGGGGUUCUCAACCUGUGGGUCGCGAUCCCUUUGGGGGUCGAUUGACGAUUUGCGAGGGGUCGCCUAAGACCAUCGAAAAUAUGGAUUGUUAUUGUCUAUUCUUCUAUUGCUGUAUGUGUGUUGGGUGGGG